GCGCGUAGGCGGCCCUCCUAGUCGCGUGUGAAAGCCCCGGGCUCAACCUGGGAACGGCGCGCGAAACGGGGGGGCUGGAGUUCGGGAGAGGAGCGUGGAAUUCCCAGUGUAGAGGUGAAAUUCGUAGAUAUUGGGAAGAACACCGGUGGCGAAGGCGGCGCUCUGGACCGAGACUGACGCUGAGGCGCGAAAGCGUGGGGAGCAAACAGGAUUAGAUACCCUGGUAGUCCACGCCGUAAACGAUGUGUGCUAGACGUUGGGGAGCCUAGCUCUUCGGUGUCGCCGCAAACGCUUUAAGCACACCGCCUGGGGAGUACGGCCGCAAGGUGAAAACUCAAAGGAAUUGACGGGGGCCCGCACAAGCGGUGGAGCAUGUGGUUUAAUUCUACGCAACGCGAAGAACCUUACCAGCUCUUGACAUGCCCGGUAUGGGCGGGAGAAAUCCCGUUCUUCGGUUCGGCCGGCCGGGACACAGGUGCUGCAUGGCUGUCGUCAGCUCGUGUCAUGAGAUGUUGGGUUAAGUCCCGCAACGAGCGCAACCCCCAUCUGCAGUU
rnacentral:rRNA from 1 species